GCUGGCGGCGUGCCUAAUACAUGCAAGUAGAACGCUGAAGGAGGAGCUUGCUUCUCUGGAUGAGUUGCGAACGGGUGAGUAACGCGUAGGUAACCUGCCUGGUAGCGGGGGAUAACUAUUGGAAACGAUAGCUAAUACCGCAUAAAAUUGAMUAUUGCAUGAUAKUCAMUUAAAAGGUGCAAWUGCAUCACUACCAGAUGGACCUGCGUUGUAUUAGCUAGUUGGUGGGGUAACGGCUCACCAAGGCNACNAUACAUANCCGACCUGAGAGGGUGAUCGGCCACACUGGGACUGAGACACGGCCCAGACUCCUACNGGAGGCAGNAGUAGGGAAUCUUCGGCAANGGACGGAAGUCUGACCGACCACCGCCNCGUGAGUGAAGAAGGUUUUC
rnacentral:rRNA from 1 species